GUUCUCAUAAAGGGGUGCUUUAAAAAGCUGAGAUCAUACCCAAUGAACCUAGAACAGAUAAUGCUGUUUAGGGAUUUUGAAUGUUUUUUCG
rnacentral:ncRNA from 1 species